UACGGAGGAUGCAAGCGUUAUCCGGAAUGAUUGGGCGUAAAGGGUCCGCAGGUGGCAGUGUAAGUCUGCUGUCAAAGAAUGAGGCUUAACCUCAUCAAGGCAGUGGAAACUACACAGCUAGAGUACGGUCGGGGUAGAAGGAAUUCCUGGUGUAGCGGUGAAAUGCGUAGAGAGCAGGAAGAACACCGGUGGCGAAAGCGUUCUGCUAGACCUGUACUGACACUGAGGGACGAAAGCUAGGGGAGCGAAUGGG
rnacentral:rRNA from 1 species